AGCGAACGCUGGCGGCAGGCUUAACACAUGCAAGUCGAGCGGGCGUAGCAAUACGUCAGCGGCAGACGGGUGAGUAACGCGUGGGAACGUACCUUUUGGUUCGGAACAACACAGGGAAACUUGUGCUAAUACCGAAUAAGCCCUUACGGGGAAAGAUUUAUCGCCGAAAGAUCGGCCCGCGUCUGAUUAGCUAGUUGGUGAGGUAAUGGCUCACCAAGGCGACAAUCAGUAGCUGGUCUGAGAGGAUGAUCAGCCACAUUGGGACUGAGACACGGCCCAAACUCCUACGGGAGGCAGCAGUGGGGAAUAUUGGACAAUGGGGGCAACCCUGAUCCAGCCAUGCCGCGUGAGUGAUGAAGGCCCUAGGGUUGUAAAGCUCUUUUGUGCGGGAAGAUAAUGACGGUACCGCAAGAAUAAGCCCCGGCUAACUUCGUGCCAGCAGCCGCCGUAAAAC
rnacentral:rRNA from 1 species